CGACGUCAAAUCAUCAUGCCCCUUAUGUCCUGGGCUACACACGUGCUACAAUGGAUGGUACAACGAGCAGCGAAGUCGCGAGGCCAAGCAAAUCUCUUAAAGCCAUUCUCAGUUCGGACUGUAGGCUGCAACUCGCCUACACGAAGUCGGAAUCGCUAGUAAUCGCGGAUCAGCA
rnacentral:rRNA from 1 species